rnacentral:lncRNA from 9 species
GAAAACGAAUGCAUUGAAUUUUGAAGUAGAAAUGUUGCUGCUAUCCAAAUCUGAAUCCAUGAAUGCUC